ACGGGUAUCUCCGUGCUCCAGGCGAUUUGGCCUUCCAAGCUAAAGACGCGGGUUCGAUUCCCGCUACCCGCUCCA
rnacentral:tRNA from 1 species